UGAGAUGUUGGGUUAAGUCCCGCAACGAGCGCAACCCUCAUCCUUAGUUGCUAUCAGGUAAUGCUGAGUACUUUAAGGAAACUGCCAGUGAUAAGCUGGAGGAAGGUGGGGAUGAUGUCAAGUCAUCAUGGCCUUUAUGGAGUGGGCUACACACGUGCUACAAUGGUGUCUACAAUGGGUUGCAAGGUGCGCAAGCCUAAGCUAAUCCCUAAAAGACAUCUCAUUUCGGAUUGUACUCUGCAACUCGAGUACAUGAAGUUGGAAUCGCUAGUAAUCGUGGAUCAGCAUGCCACGGUGAAUACGUUCUCGGGUCUUGUACACACUGCCCGUCACGCCAUGGGAAUUGGUU
rnacentral:rRNA from 1 species